rnacentral:rRNA from 1 species
UACACACGUGCUACAAUGGUUGGUACAACGAGUUGCGAGUCGGUGACGGCGAGCUAAUCUCUUAAAGCUAAUCUCAGUUCGGAUUGUAGGCUGCAACUCGCCUACAUGAAGUCGGAAUCGCUAGUAAUCGCGGAUCAGCACGCCGCGGUGAAUACGUUCCCGGGCCUU